GACCGGAAGUGCGUUCCACCGCGGGCUGAUUGCGUUCCACAUUAGGAACUUCCAGCCUCCAGUAGCGCGGAUGUGACCAUGCACAAGUGAGCAUUAUUUAUUUCUACAGACGCUGCCAUGGUAACGGCUGUGAGACGUGCAGCAUGCAAGUGCGCGCUGACGUCAUGUUCCCGCGCCAGUGUCCGGGACGGACUCCCGGGCUGGAGAACGCGGCCAAUCCGUACACUUUCACAUGUAUUCGGGGGGUAUAAGAUGAAAGCUGUACAUGAGGAAUUUUCAUUGGAAAGGUCAAAGGAAAAAUGACAGGAUUGUUACAAGGGAUUGCGUCAUGCCACCAGUAACAGGUGCUCUCCAAAUGCUUGUGAGUCAUAGACCCCUAUACAGUUGCCAAGAAAUGAAAAAAGAAGAAAGAAGCAUUUUUAUUUGGACGCACUCAACCACUGUUCAUUUUCUUAACAUUUUUAAUCUUUAUUAGGUAUGCAUUAAAAUAAUUUGGGGAAUUGGUGAAAUAUUAAAAUAUAGUGUGAAUAAGAAAAACAGUAUGUGAUAAUAAAAACUACUAGUUUCCGAUUGGUGAUCCCUCAAAGUGUGAAACUGAAUAAAGGCUAUAUUGCCUAUGACAAAAUUCAA